rnacentral:rRNA from 1 species
AGUGAACGCUGGCGGUAGGCCUAACACAUGCAAGUCGAACGGCAGCACAGGAGAGCUUGCUCUCUGGGUGGCGAGUGGCGGACGGGUGAGGAAUACAUCGGAAUCUGCCCAGUCGUGGGGGAUAACGUAGGGAAACUUACGCUAAUACCGCAUACGACCUUCGGGUGAAAGAGGGGGAUCGCAAGACCUCUCGCGAUUGGAUGAGCCGAUGUCGGAUUAGCUAGUUGGCGGGGUAAUGGCCCACCAAGGCGACGAUCCGUAGCUGGUCUGAGAGGAUGAUCAGCCCAACUGGAAAUGAGACACGGUCCAGACUCCUACGGGAGGCAGCAGUGGGGAAUAUUGGACAAUGGGCGCAAGCCUGAUCCAGCCAUACCGCGUGGGUGAAGAAGGCCUUCGGGUUGUAAAGCCCUUUUGUUGGGAAAGAAAUCUUUCAGGCUAAUACCCUGGGAGGAUGACGGUACCCAAAGAAUAAGCACCGGCUAACUUC